GGAGGGGUGUCCGAGUGGCCUAAGGAGGCGGUCUUGAAAACCGCUGUCUUCGCAAGGGGACCGUGGGUUCGAAUCCCACCCCCUCCGCCA
rnacentral:tRNA from 1 species